rnacentral:rRNA from 1 species
GUAACAAGGUUUCCGUAGGUGAACCUGCGGAAGGNNCAUUAUU